UGAGGAAUAUUGGUCAAUGGACGGAAGUCUGAACCAGCCAUGCCGCGUGAAGGAAUAAGGCCCUACGGGUCGUAAACUUCUUUUGUGGUGGAGCAAUAAGACGUACGUGUACGUCGAUGAGAGUACAUCACGAAUAAGCAUCGGCUAACUCCGUGCCAGCAGCCGCGGUAAUACGGAGGAUGCGAGCGUUAUCCGGAUUUAUUGGGUUUAAAGGGUGCGCAGGCGGGCGUCUAAGUCAGCGGUGAAAGUUCCCGGCUCAACCGGGUCAGUGCCGAUGAUACUGGGGGUCUUGAAUGCGGUCGAGGCCGGUGGAAUGUGGCGUGUAGCGGUGAAAUGCAUAGAUAUGCCACAGAACACCGAUAGCGAAGGCAGCUGGCCGGGCCUGCAUUGACGCUGAGGCACGAAAGCGUGGGGAUCGAACAGGAUUAGAUACCCUGGUAGU
rnacentral:rRNA from 1 species